UACGUAGGGAGCUAGCGUUGUUCGGAAUUACUGGGCGUAAAGCGCACGUAGGCGGCUUUGUAAGUUAGAGGUGAAAGCCCGGAGCUCAACUCCGGAACUGCCUUUAAGACUGCAUCGCUUGAAUCCAGGAGAGGUGAGUGGAAUUCCGAGUGUAGAGGUGAAAUUCGUAGAUAUUCGGAAGAACACCAGUGGCGAAGGCGGCUCACUGGACUGGUAUUGACGCUGAGGUGCGAAAGCGUGGGGAGCAAACAGG
rnacentral:rRNA from 1 species